rnacentral:rRNA from 1 species
UACGUAGGGUGCGAGCGUUAAUCGGAAUUACUGGGCAUAAAGCGUGCGCAGGCGGUCCGCAAAGUCUGAUGUGAAAGCCCCGGGCUCAACCUGGGAACUGCAUUGGAAACUAACGGGCUCGAGUGUGGCAGAGGGGGGUGGAAUUCCACGUGUAGCAGUGAAAUGCGUAGAGAUGUGGAGGAACACCGAUGGCGAAGGCAGCCCCCUGGGCUAACACUGACGCUCAGGCACGAAAGCGUGGGGAGCAAACAGG